GACGAACGCUGGCGGCGUGCUUAACACAUGCAAGUCGAACGGAAGGACGCUACUUUUGUGUGUUGGUCGUUUGGCGCAGAGGUGAGUAACACGUGAGUAACCUGCCCCUGACUUUGUGAUAAAUUCUGGAGAAUCCGGCUAUUAUCCGAUAUGAUCUCUUGAUGCAUGGUGGUGGUUGGAGAAUUUCGGCGGUUGUGGAUGGUCUCGCAGGUUAUCAGCUUGUUGGGCGGGUAGUGGCUUACCAAGGCUUUGACGGGUAGCCGGCCUGAGAGGGUGAACGGCCACAUUGGUACUGAGAUAGGGACCAGACUCGUACCGGACGCAGCAGGGGGAAACAUUGCACAAUGGGCGGAAGUCUGAUGCAGCAACGCCGCGUGCGGGAUGCCGGCCUUCUGGGGGUAAACAGAUUUGUCCGGUGACGAAGAGUGAGUGACGGUAACGAGUAAAAAAGCACCGGCUAACUACGUG
rnacentral:rRNA from 1 species